rnacentral:rRNA from 1 species
AUUGAACGCUGGCGGCAGGCCUAACACAUGCAAGUCGAGCGGAUGAGUGGAGCUUGCUCCAUGAUUCAGCGGCGGACGGGUGAGUAAUGCCUAGGAAUCUGCCUGGUAGUGGGGGACAACGUUUCGAAAGGAACGCUAAUACCGCAUACGUCCUACGGGAGAAAGUGGGGGAUCUUCGGACCUCACGCUAUCAGAUGAGGCUAGGUCGGAUUAGCUAGUUGGUGAGGUAAAGGCUCACCAAGGCGACGAUCCGUAACUGGUCUGAGAGGAUGAUCAGUCACACUGGAACUGAGACACGGUCCAGACUCCUACGGGAGGCAGCAGUGGGGAAUAUUGGACAAUGGGCGAAAGCCUGAUCCAGCCAUGCCGCGUGUGUGAAGAAGGUCUUCGGAUUGUAAAGCACUUUAAGUUGGGAGGAAGGGCAGUAAGUUAAUACCUUGCUGUUUUGACGUUCCCAACAGAAUAAGCACCGGCUAACUUCGUGCCAGCAGCCGCCGUAACAC